GUGUGCCACUCAUACACUCCGGUCCCUGCACGCCGUUCACGCCUACCUGACGAACGCUCGCCACAUUUUGUCGGCC
rnacentral:sRNA from 2 species